ensembl:lncRNA
CUCCCAGGAGGCUCAGGGGGGCACGGAGGACCGCACCGGGUCAGGUGUCUGCUCAGGCCCCGCCCCCGCCGAUCUCCGAGGAGACACGACAAGGAAGGGGCGGGGGGGGGCGGGGUUCCGUCACCGCCGAAACCGAACGUCUUGGCUAUCUUAACGACCACUGAAUCAGCGAGUCCACCGUGUUUUUCCACCGUCAAGUCGUUUCUGGGCUGCUGUGGAGACACGCCCUUCCUGGGUUUAAUGGCUUCGCUGUCCGGCGCUGGGGAGGAGGCGUGUUUACUUUUCGCAGGGAAAAUAGCGGUUCACGGUGGGACGGUGGACCUGCUUAGUAAUCGGGUGAUUUAUCCCAGGAACGUUCUUUGGGUUUUCCUGGUGGUUUGCGCUUGAACUUCGGCCGAGUGAAGUGGGAGGAGGCGGUAGGAGGAAGGUGGCUUCGGGGAGAAAGGGAUGGGCUCGGCUCAGGGACGAGGCCGAGCUCGAGGGACAGGUGGAGGUGUGCGCAGAUCUGGGAGGAUGCCGCUCCGCCCGCUCUCCCCGACUCCUCCUCAAUGUGCAUUCACUCGCUUGCUCACGCCAUCCCUCAGUCGUUCCUGCCUUCAGGGCUUCGAAUUCCGACCACCGUCUCUGUGCUGGGGAAGCAGCACACCUGCUGAGGCCCGGGCUCCGCGGCGAUGAACAGGCUUUCCCUCCUUCGGAGGAGAGCCCAGACUCCGCGGAGGAGACAGAUGGCCAAAUAGAUCGUUCCCAAUAGGGCUGUGUUCAAAUGACAGGAGGUAAGAACAGCUAAGUGCUGGACACUGUUCCAGGUGCUUUUCAUGUAUUAAAUCGUUCAUUUCUGUCAACAAUCCUAGGGGCUAGGUCCUGAGAAACUGGAGGCACAGAAACGUAAGUAACUUACUGAAGGUCACACAGCAAACAGAUUUGCACCCAGGCUGUCUGUCCAGCCUUUUACCAUCGUGAUCUCCAGCUCUGCUUUGGAAAUGAGGUAGGUCUGCCGCAAAAAAGGAGAGAAGGAUUUUUAGAAUCCGGGUCUUGAGGAGGAAGUAGGGAAGUUUUUGAGGUAGAGGAAGCAGCAACACCAGGCCCCCAAAGUUGAGAGUGCCUGCCACAUGCAGAAAGGCGCAGGGCUGGACGUGACCUGAGAGGGGAAAUGGCAGGCAGGCACGGAUGAUGAAACUUUACUGAAGGAGGGGGUGGGAUGGUCUGAUUUUAAACGAAGAAAGAGCUCUCAGGGGGCUCAGUGGAGGACAGAUUGUGGGCGGGAGUAGAUGAGAGCCAGGGGGAGUGGGCUCCUGCCAUUUCAGCCUUCUGGGGCCCUGUCCCUUUUGCCCUGAUCUUCCCCAGGGCCCGCUGCCCCUUGCUCUCCAGCGCGGUUUGGCUGACUCCGGCUAGACUUGAGGGUGGGCACGUGACUCAGGUCUGGCCAAUCAGCCUCUUCCAUCCCUCUGGCCGCAGGGAUUGGCCCAGGAGUGUACCUGUGACUCAAGUCAGGCCAAUGAGACUCAAUUCUGGGGUUUUUGUUAGACCUGCUCGGGGAAAGGAGGCUCUUUCUCAGGUUGCUGGGUGGGAGUGUGAGUCCGGGAGAAGCCUCUGCCUGAGAAUGAAGCUGCGUUAGUUUGCUGGGGCUGCAAUAACUAAGCAGCACGCAGCUUAAACCACAGACAUUUAUUUUCCCUCAUUUCUGGAAGCUGGAAGUCCAAGAUCAAGGUGUCGAAAGGCUGGUUUCUCCACUUGGCCUGCAGAUGGCCGUCUUCUUCUGGUGUCUUCACGUGGUCUUCCUUCUGUGUCCCAAUCUCUUCCUUUUAUAAGGACACCAGUCAUAUGGAUUAGGGCCCACCCGUGUGACCUCAGUUUACCUUCAUUACCUCCUUAAAGAACCCAUCACAAAAUAUAGCCAUGUUCUAAGGUACUGGGGGUCAGGAUUUCAAUAUAUGAAUUCGAGGGGAGGGAACACAAUUCAGCCCAUAACAGAAGCCAACACAGACAAACACAUGGAGGUAGGGGGAGAGAUCAAGGCCUGACCUGAUUUGAGCCCCUGGAUCCAACUGUGCUUGAAGCUGAAGCUAAUACUAUCCUGGACUCUUGAGUUUCAUGAGCCAGUAAGUACCUCAGCCUCAUUCCUCUCUUUUUUUCUUAAACUAGUUGAGUUUCUGUUACAGCUAAAAUUCCUGAGCGGUACACAAGGGAACCAGUUAGCAAACUAAGAUAGUCUACACCUGAUGAAAUGACAACUUGCAAGGACAGUGCUUGUAUCUGCACCCAGGGCUGUCCAAUUCCAAUAGGCAGAGGUAGCAGGUCAGAAGAAAGUGGGCCGAGCUGGUGCCAGCCUCUUCCCACAUAGGCAGGCGGUGCCACCUUAUCCCAGAAGCCAUGCCGGACAGAGCCAGAAAACCCUCCUUUCCCACCAGUGUUGACUGUGUGGAAUAGGCGGGUGCUGGCGGGUGUUGUUGGGUUGUAGAAGUCUUUUGAGAAGGGCAGAAAGCAUUUUGGAAAGCCUUGGCAAUGAGCUUGGGACAUCACCUCACAGGUUGCCGGGUGCUGCCCAGAGAUGCUCAGAUGGAACUCGAAGGAGCAGGGCCUUGGUUCCAGGAGGUUCCCUGCAGGAGUGGCAGAAUGAGCUCCCCGACAGGGCUCGAUCCUCUGCAUGGGGAGGAGAGCAGACAGAGCGGGCUUUGGCCAGGACUGAAACUCAAGCCUCUCCCGCCCGUCCUCCCAGAGCAUCCUCGGACCCGGCUGUCUGGGCCAGAGCCAGAAUGGUUCUCGGGCCGUUUCUCACCCCAAUUUCAAAGGCUUCGUCUUCCACUGAAGGAAAAGCUUGCACUUUCACAGUGAAAAAUUUAAGGAAAGGUAAGAAACAGCGGAUGCUUCCUUCUCUUUCUUAUCUUUUUUUUGGGGGAAGGCCAAUAAGAGAAAAGGAAUAUUUUAGCUAUAAAGCUUUGGCCUGAGAUCAAGUUUAGAAAGAAAGGCAUCUGCUAAUUGAAAACAUCAUUUCUGGGGCCUUUAAAUCAAGGGAAACAGGUGCAGGUUUGUGGUUUUAGAGAGAGUAUUUCUUUUGGAAAAAAGAAGGAAAAAUGCCCCAAAUAGGGUCCCUCCAAAGCUGUCAGACUUACUUUUCAGCCCUUAAUUACUUAGAAGGUGAUUGAAAAGAUUAACUGAGAAGUUAAAAAAAAAAAAGAAAAAAAUCAACUCUCACCCUUCUAGGUAACACUCCAAAUCCUCUUUUAAAUUGUUUAAUCCUUUCCAAGGCUGCAGAGGGGGCAAAUGUAUCCAGCCAUGUCGAUAACUCUCUCUUACAGUCCUGUCCCACGCCUCCUCUACUUGUAUUCUUAAUCCUGUGAGGAACAGCCGGGGCCUUCCCUUCUCAUAUGAGCUCAAUAGAGCUGGGAUUUCUCCUUUGCCAUUUCAGUGGCGUAUUUUCCAACGUUUUCUCUGGUUGUGAAGGGCAGAAACUUCAAGGUCAAAGAGUCUUGGGAGAAGAGAGUGAUAUUUCCGUGCCUCCUGUGUGCUGGGUGCUUGCAUGCCACAGUGAAACCAUGUCAGGUCGGUGUGCAUGUUUCCUUUUUUGCCUGUUGAGGAAAAUGGAGGCUCAGAGAGGAGAAGUGACAUGCCUGAGGUGGCCCAGCUAGGAAGUAGCAGAGUUGAACUUGAAAGCCAGGUCGUCUCUCUGUCAAGCCCUGGCCCCUUCUGUCACGCCACAUUGCCUUCCACCUUUGCAAGAACAGGAUGGCCGAUCAAGCUAAUGGCUAUGAAAAUACCCAGAAGCUUUUUCCUUCAAAAUAACUCAGAGCAUCUUCCUGUCUUAGGGAACUAUUCAACAGGUUUAUCUUCAGUCAAAUUUAUGUUAUUGCCAUGUUUUUAGGGGAAAUUCUGAACUUCACGUUACUGAUCAAGCAAGGUGGUUAAUGGAACCAGUUUCCUCAAGAAACCAGUAUCAUGUGUUAGUUACUUGUUGCCGUGUAACAAAUGACCCCGAAACUUAAUGUCUUGCUAUAACAGCAUUUCUUAUGUUGCAGUCUCUGUUGGUCAGGAGUCUGGGUCCUCUGGCUCAGGGCCUCUCACAGACUACUGUCGAGGCAUCAGCUAGGGCCUUGAUGUGGUCAUCAGAAGGGCCACCUGGAGAAGGAUCGGCUUCCAUUCUCACUCACGUGGUUGUGGGCAGGUUUCAGCUCCCCAGGGCCUUUGGGCCUCAGUUUCUUGCUGGCUGAUGGCUGGAGGGUGCCCUCAUUUCCUUGCCAUCUGGGCCUCUCUGACGCGGCUGCUUUCUCACGGUGAACAAACGGAGAAGGCAGUAGGAGUAUGUCAGCAAGAGGGAAGAAGCCAUAAUCCUUCACACCCUAGUCGUGGAAGCGCCAUCCCAUCAUUUGCUGUGUUCUGUUCAUUAGAAACAAGUCGCUGGGUCCAGCCCACACUCAAGGGGAGGCCGUCACACAGGUAGGGAUUCUAGGAGGUUGGGAUCCCUGGAAGCCAUGAUAGCAGCUGCCUAUUACCCAUCAGAAAACUACAGCUAGUGGUCGUAGUAAUAAGCAUGAGGCUGGUGAUGACAGCUGGCAUUUAUUGGGUCCUUUUGCUAUGCCAGGCACAGACUAAAUCCCUUCUAUGCAUUGUCUCAUUUGCUCGCCUCUGCUCUCUGACCCAGAAAGGUCCAUGAACUUCCCUGAGUUGCUGUAGCAAAGACGUCAGGGCCCGGCUCUGGUGGGUCCGACCCCAGAGACCCUCCAUUACAUGAUGCAGAUGCUCAACCUGAACCCAUGGAGCUGCCGGGGCCAAAACAAGCCCCCUUGAGACAGGAGUCAGAAAAAUGAAGCCGAACCCAGUACUCAUCAGAAAAUUGCAAGGGAACACAACCAGAAGCUAUUUCUUUUGCAUCAGGUUGGAGAAAAAAAAAAAAUUUAAGUUGGUGAGAGUGUGGGGAAUUCUCAUGCACUCCGGAGAGACUAUAAAUUUGUGCUGCCACUUUGGGGAGAAAUUUGGCAGGACCUAUUAAGAUUUUAAAAGGACAUAAAAAUAAAAAAUGUGCAUAGCCUAUGACCCAGCAAUUACACUUCUGAGUAUCUACCCUAGAGAAAUAUUUGCACAUGUGCGUGAAGAGCUGUGGACAAGAAUUUUCAUUCCAGCAUUGUUUCUAAGAGCAAGUAGUAAAUAGUGAAAUUGGAAACAGUCUAAAUGUCCAUCAAUUAAAAAUAUGGCUAAAUGAAUUGUGGAGCAUGUGUACUAUGAAGCAGGUAAAGACAAUAAGGUGGAUCUAUAAGUAUGGCAUGGAAAUAUCUCUAAAACGUAUUGUUGAAUCAAAAAAGUAAGUUGCAGAAUGAAACCUCAGCAUGAGACCAUUUAUGUAACCCCUACCAAUAUUAUAUAUCAUCAUAUAUAUAUAUAUAUACACAAAUAUAUUUAUUGUAUAUAAACAAAUAUGAGUAUAGUCAAGUGCAUGGGAAUGAUCUGGAAGCGUGCACAGCAAACUGAUAAUGGGAGAGGGAGAGGCUAGAGUUGAGGGAUGGUCAAAGGAGACUUCAGCUUUGUAUGUAAUAUUUUUGAUAUUUUUAAACAAAGACUUUAAUUGCUUCCCUUAUGUCAGCUGAGCCUAUCUCUUUUAAAAAGCUCUACUGGAAGCCCAGCCUGAUGAUUGCCUUACAUUGUAUUGGGCAGAACUGGGUCACAUGGUCACUGUUAGCUGCAAAGGAGUCCGGGAAGGUGAAUAGUUUAUGGCUUUGCUAGUAGGGGAAAGCAAGGAAGAAGAGAGUUGUGAGUGGCCAUUGGGUGGCCAAUUAAAAACAUCUGCCAUUGGGGCUGGCCCCGUGGCCGAGUGGUUAAGUUCACGUGCUCUGCUGCCUGCGGCCCAGUGUUUCGUUGGUUCGAAUCCUGGACGUGGACAUGGCACUGCUCAUCAAACCACACUGAGGCGGCGUCCCACACGCCACAACUAGACGGACCCACAAUGAAGAAUAUACAACUAUGUACUGGAGGGCUUUGGGGAGAAAAAGGAAAAAAUAAAAAAAUCUUUAAAAAAAAAAAACAAAAAAAACCCAUCUGCCAUUGUUCAUCCUUUUAGUUGCCCAACCUCCACACGUGCCUUUCUUCCUAUACAGAUCAUCCACGUAUCGUCCAAAGUCAAUUACUACAUCCAUCCUCAAGUCCAGGGUCUCUGAGUGAUGAAGUGCAGCCCACUCAUCAGGUCCAGAUGUGAGAAGAGACUGCCUGUCUGUUAUCUUAGCUUCAUCUGAGACAGAAGUCAGGAUGGCUGUCUUUUCUGGGGGCUGCACAUUUUUUCUUGGUACAAGUUUGACCCCCAAGGAUUUUUUUUUUUUUUAAAGAUUGGUACCUGAGCUAACAACUGUUGCCAAUCUUUUUCUUCUUUUUUUUUUUUCUGCUUUUUCUCCCCAAAUCUCCCCAGUACAUAGUUGUAUGUUGUAGUUGUGGGUCCUUCUAGUUGUGGCAUGCGGGACACCUCCUCAGCAUGGCCUGAUGAGUGGUGCCAUGUCGGCGCCCAGGAUCCAAACCGGCGAAACCCUGGGCCACUGAAGCAGAGUGCAUGAACUUAACCACUUGGCCAGAGGGCCAGCCCCUCAAGGAUUAUUUUUAGGGUUUAACUGUCACCAGCUAUCAUCGGCCAGGCUUGGACUGUUUCAGAGAUAUUCAUCUCUCAGAAAUGUAAUGGAGAUCCAGUCUUUGAUUCCAGAGACUUCCGUGUACAAGUCACCACAGCAAAGGUUUUCGUCUAGACGUGGUAUGUGAGCCUAAGUGGUCCCAUGUUCCACCCGCUCUCUCUCUGCUCUGCCCAGACCUCUAGUCCUUGGUCUAUUGGCUGGUUCUUGGGGGCGAUUUAAAGUAGGAACCUUGGGUGGAGAGUCUCUUCCUUUAGUUUGAUCUUUGCAUGUUGCUGUUCCUCCUUUAUUAGACAGAGAAAGUUCUAGACAAUAGCCUGAGGCACUGGUCUAAUUUCCUGCUAACGCUGUAGCUUCAUUGCUGUUACUCAGGGUUUUUCAACUUGUAACUCUUCAAAUGAUGGGAUUCUCGGUCGAUUUCGAUUAUAGGCUGCAGAUUAUGCGCCCCUCUUAGCAAAGCUACAUGGCUCCCAUCGGCUUGCACACUGGCCAACUCUGGUCUGAGACCAUCUUUCUCUUUUAGGAUUUUAUUAAAAAUGACAAGAAGUAGCCAGCAUGGACUAAUAUUCGGAAUUUUCCUAUCAUUUCUUCUGACUCUAUGACCUCAAUUGGCAUGAAGUCUUAUGGUAGAGCAGGCAACAGUUUGACUAAAUGUUUGUCACUGCGUGAAAAGGGCCACCUGCUUCAGCCAUUAAUGAUCAGGUCCUUCUUCCCCCAUGCUUUAAGUUCUGAUACUUUCCUUACCCUACUCCUGGUACCAAUAUUUUUUAAAAAAUCAGAACUUUUAGUGUGUGCAACAGAAAUUGACUCUGGCUUAUUAAGCAGAAAAAGAUACUAAUUAAAGGAUAUUGGGUAAAUUAGAAUUGUUGCAAGGGCUGAAGAAUCAGAUUUAAAGUCUACAGAAUAAUGUCCCUAAAAAUGCUGGGGAACUGCAAUGAUGAGAAGACUCGCCACUGAUAGAAGCAAGCGCUAACUGCCAUCGCUUGCCCUGCUGUCAGGAACUCGACUUCAGUGCAACUAACGCUUCUGCCGGCGCUGACGCCAUUCCUGCACCAGCCAAUAAUUUGACUUUUCGAGCAUCACCACGCUUGCAAUGAUGCUCUGCUGCUACCUUCACCAGCAACUUGUGUUUUGAGCAGAGCCUCCUUCCCCAUGUUGGUUACUUUAUAUUCAAAGUCUGCACGAAUUGGUGGCACCUAGAAAUUCAGGCCCCUGGCUGGGUGUGAAGGGGCUAGAGAGGCGGGUUUUCUGAGUUCUACUGUAGGGAGGAAGGAUUCAUAAGGCCUAAGAGUCCAUAGACAUGUUGUGAUACUAUGAUUUAUAAUAAGAAAUAAAUAUUUGGUCUUCCUCCCCAUUUCUGGGACAGAGCUCCCCAAAUGCUUGGAAUUUCCUAAGAGGCAAGUGGUAAAGGUGUCUUUUGUUGUGCUAAUGGUGUUUUUGGAAAGACCCCAGGUAACCUAAGUAUACUAUGUGAUUAGAGGGUUGGAAAUUUCGGUCCUGCCCCAACCUCCCAGGGAGGUGAGAGGGGCUGAAGAUUCAGUUCAGUCGCCAACGGCCAAAGAUUUAAUCAAACCUGUGUCAUUUAGUCAGAUGCCUCUGUACUGAAGCCUCCAUAAAAUCCCUAAAGGACUGGGUUCAGAAAGCUUCAGGAUUGGUGAACACGUGGAGAUGCUGGGAGAGUGGUAUGCUCUGAGAAGGGCGUGGAAGCUCGCUACCCUUUGCAUAUACCUUGCCCUGUGCAUCUCUCCCAUGUGGCUGUUCCUGAGUUAUAUCCUUUUAUAAUAAACUAGUAAACAUUAAGUGCAUGUUUCUCUGAGUUUUGUGAACCACUCUAGCAAAUCAGUCAAACCUGAAUAGGAGGUCAUGGGAAUCUCCGAUCUAUAGCUGGUUGAUCAGAAGCACAGGUGACCGACCACCUGGACUUGCAAUUGGCAUCUCAAGUGUGGGUGGGGAGGUCUCGUAGGACUGAGCCCUUAACCUGUGGGAUCUGAUGCUGUCUCCAGGUAGACAGUGUCAGAAUUGGUUGAGUUAAUUACUUGGUGGUGUGGGAAAAAACACACAUAUCGUGCAUCCAGACAACAUGACAAGUCUACACAAAAGCUUCACUCACAGCUUCUGCAGGGUGUCCUCAAGAGUUCCAGGCUCUUCCCUUAUGUUGAUAAGAUGGCUGAGCACCUCUACACUCACAGUCUUUCAAAUUCAAGCCCAAUGGGAAAGAGUAAGGGGUUUGUUUUUCUCCACAAAACUUUUGAGAUUCUCUUUGAUUGGACAGCCUAGGACAAGUCCGUCCCUGAAUGAGUCCCAGUGGCCAAGAGCAUCCUGCUUUGAUGGGCCGGGACGGAUCAUGUGCUCUACAUCUGAAACAGAGAUUCCCAUCUGGAGCUCAUGGCCUGAGAGGGGAGGGGGGAACCACAAACAAAUGUUGAG